CGGCCCCUCCCCCCGGCGGGCGCGCGGCUGCGGAGGAGGCGGUGCCUGAGUCGGCGCUAGAGGUUGUGUCGUUCCUUGGCAAGCUUCUCUGCGCAGUCGCGGCGCUGAAGGCGGCUCUCUACCUCCUCCGCAGAGUGUGUCUAGCGAUGGCCUGGAAGUCAGGAGGCUCCAGCCACUCCGAGCUCAUCCACAACCUGCGCAAAAAUGGAAUAAUCAAAUCAGAUAAAGUAUAUGAAGUAAUGCUGGCUACAGACCGUUGCCACUAUGCAAAAUGCAACCCUUAUAUGGACUCUCCUCAAUCAAUAGGUUUCCAAGCAACUAUCAGUGCCCCACACAUGCAUGCGUAUGCUCUAGAACUGCUAUCUGAACAGUUACAUGAAGGAGCCAAAGCCCUUGAUGUAGGAUCUGGAAGUGGAAUUCUUACAGCAUGUUUUUCGCGGAUGGUUGGUCUCCAAGGACGAGUUGUAGGAAUUGAUCAUAUCAAAGAGUUAGUAGAUGACUCAAUAAAUAAUGUCAAAAAGGAUGAUCCUACAUUACUGUCUUCAGGAAGAGUGAAACUGAUUGUGGGGGAUGGAAGAAUGGGAUAUCCAGAAGAAGCUCCCUAUGAUGCUAUUCAUGUCGGAGCUGCAGCCCCGGUUGUGCCCCAAGCACUCAUAGACCAAUUAAAACCUGGUGGAAGAUUGAUAUUACCAGUCGGCCCUGCAGGUGGAAACCAGAUGCUGGAACAAUAUGAUAAACUAGAAGAUGGCAGUGUCAAAAUGAAGCCUUUGAUGGGAGUGAUAUAUGUGCCUUUAACAGAUAAAGAGAAGCAAUGGUCCAGGUGGAAGUGAUUUUCUGUUCCACUUUCUUCUUCCACAGAUACACGCAUACAAGCCUUUUGUGCAGGUACCGAGAAUAAUUGGACCAUAAUUUCAAACAAGUCUCUCUCCAGUAAAUGGCCCAAUGUGUAAGACAGUCACUUCUUCAGACAACAGGGAUGAAUUGUAAAAGCUACAUCAUCUUGACCCAAACAUAGUGUUACAGUGGACUUCCCAUCUCCAGUUCUAAAAGCUUUUUGAAAACCAACAGCAUUGCAGCUUGUUUUGGAUUUUGUUAUACUGUUAUCAGCAUGGAAAAGCGUGGUGUUUUUAUUUCAUUUUUUUAGAGGCUUAAGGCAAAUCUGGCAAAGAAUUGGUGGAAAGUUUAAAUUUGGGCUGUUUCUUUUAACAUGCCUUUUUAAAUUUCAUCUUGUUAAAGAAAUGAAUUUCUGCAAAAAUGCGAAGACCUACAGUUUGUGAACUCUUUAAUUUUGAUGGCUGAUACUUUUUGAACACUUUAUUUCAGCUCCAUUGUUCCUUGGUAAAAUUGCUUCUGUGCACCUUAUAACACUACAUACACAAUGGCAGGUUCUCUAUGUUCAGAUGUCUGCUAAAUGUUACUAAGAAAAUGAGAUGAACUUCCUUUUCAAAGCUUGUGACAUGGUGUCAUAGACUAGCAUGUAGUAGAUACAAUCAGCUGCGUUAUUAUCUUAAAAGUGGGCAUUUGUAUAUAUUAAACUUCAAGACAUCAGAGGUGACAGCUCUUGUUAUAAACUCUAUGGUUCAGGUUGGACAUAACUGACAUAGUUUUUUCCUUCCUUGUCAAGAAAUUAGAGGAAACUUGUAGCUCAGUAUUGUUUUGUAGCUCACUGCUGAUAUGUAUAUGAAUUUAGCAUAACAAAUGCUGUGUAAGCUAUGUCCUAAUCACUGAACAGUUUAUGCAGUGCUGCUUUGCCAAAUAAAGUUAAAAGCAAAAAAGGAUUUUGUGUGCUUCUUGUAUGGAGAUCAGGAUCAGUAUGUUAAAUGUAACUGCUUGAAAUGCAGAACACUACUCCAAUAAAAUUAACAUCCAUAUUUAAAAAUUAGUUGCUUUUGACACCAGAUUUCUGCAGUAUAAUCUACAUUCUUCUUCCAGCUACAGAUAGUGAUGGAAAAAAAUUGGAUUAAUGUUUUAGGGGAACUUACAUUUUUAUAGAAGAGAAAAAAAGCUGAUAAAUAGUGAAGAACUGAUGGAUCGCCAAACCCUGACCAAAUAAAUAUAUACUACACUACAAACUCUACAAAUAUCCAUUUUGAAGAGUAAUUGAAAGGCUUUUUUUAAUGUUCUCAAGACCCAGGUUUUAUGUUCUGUGUUUGCUGCAGUUAAUGACGUCAGGAAAACCCAAAGCACAUUAAAAACUAUAUAGCUCUUGGAUUGCUUUAGGGGUGUAUAUGUUCUUCCUAAAAAGAAAAGGAGUACUUGUGGCACCUUAGAGACUAACCAGUUUAUUUGAGCGUAAGCUUUCGUGAGCAUAAGCAUCCGAUGAAGUGAGCUGUAGCUCACGAAAGCUUAUGCUCAAAUAAACUGGUUAGUCUCUAAGGUGCCACAAGUACUCCUUUUCUUUUUGCGAAUACAGACUAACACGGCUGUUACUCUGAAACCUAUGUUCUUCCCGCAACUCCUGGUCAUUAGCGUUUGAGUGGUAAAAUACAUUUUAAGCUCUUUGUGUUUUUUAUUACAAAGAAGCAGAGCUAAAUUAAUAAGAACCUGAAUAAUUUGGUUCAAAGAGGCCACUGUUUCUUUUUGAAAAAUAUUCAGCCUGCUUUUGUUCGAACAGACAUAUUUUCUGUGAUAAGAGUUAAUCAUUGAAAGUAUGAAGGGUAUUAUUGAAAGGGCUCUGAAAUGUGAAAGAAUAAGUAAAUUACCUUCAUGUGAAUGUCAGUCCCUCCUAUUCCUGUGUAAAAUAUGUCAUAUAAUUUAAUAUUGAUAUUUAGGAGGCUAACAUACGACCUCCCCCAUAUCUUUUAAUUGAAGCUUGGGAGCACAUACACAAUAUUAAUCCUACAGGGGAGACUAAUUUCAAAUUAAGGAAGUUACUUGAUUACUUAGUGCUUGUUCUAGAAAAUACAGUGAAGAAAAAUGGGUUUGCAUCUGAUGUCAAAUUUGUGCUAAUUGACAAUCAACUGUGAAUAUAUUUUUAGUAUUGAAGUGAAAUAUCUGAAAUGAUGCAUGCAGCAGGAUAAAAUCUCUCAACAGAUAACACCAUCUUAAUCCUAAUUUUUAGCCUUUUGGUCACUGUCAUUCUAAUUUACUGAGUUCUCAACUUUCCCUCUUCUCACUAAUUUAAUGUUAAAUUCAGAAUAAGAAGUCAAAUGUAUCCAAAUUCUUCUCUUUAGACAAAGUGUAACAAGCUAGCCUACGUUGGGUGAGGUGGUAGACAUGAUCCAAAAUUUUCUUUGUAAAAGACCCACAUUGCAGGAGCUAUAAGACUUCUGGGACUAAGGCUGUUGGGGGUUAAUAUGCCUGCUCCACUGGAAGGAGUGAUGCUUGCCACAUUAUUUUCAUCUGAAUCUAGGGGGAGCAUUGAGAGAGUCUGGAAGUUGAGAUUCCUCCAUGGUGAAGGAAGCAAUGGUUCUGGUUUAAAGGCUUCUUGGAGAAGAGAAGUUGAAAUGCAGAGGAUUUAAAGAGCUUGAAUAAAUGCGGUAUAAACUAUCUGAAUUGCUACUUUGCCAAAUAAAAUUAAAAGUGAGA